UCAGUUCGGAUUGUAGUCUGCAACUCGACUACAUGAAGCUGGAAUCGCUAGUAAUCGCAGAUCAGAAUGCUGCGGUGAAUACGUUCCCGGGUCUUGUACACACCGCCCGUCACACCAUGGGAGUCGGAAAUGCCCGAAGCCGGUGACCCAACCAAAAGGAGGGAGCCGUCGAAGGCAGGUCUGAUAACUGGGGUGAAGUCGUAACAAGGUAUC
rnacentral:rRNA from 1 species